UUUUGGCAACUUCUCGGUUUUUUUUUUUUAGUUUUAUUUUUCAAAUCAUGUUCCUAUUUUGGCAACAGUUGUGUUAUUUUCUGCUACUUUUCCAUCUGAACAUCUUGACUUAUUUUGAGUAUGCAUUAUGCUUUUGUAUUGCAAUAUAUUUUGGCAAUUUUAAUUGGCUGUUAACAGCAAGUACGGAUAAUAUACGGUGGAGCGAACAAUUACCUUUUUCUUGGCAAGAACAAUUACCUUUUUCUUGGCAAGAACAAUAAAUCACCAUGUUCAGGAACAUAUAAUCUUUUUUUUUUUACUUUUCAAAUAUUACUUGUAAUAGUUCUUGGUUUAACUUGGCAAUUGGGAGUGCCUUCCCUUUGUUUCCCUCACUUUACUUUUUUUUUAAAACAGGAACUGUUAUUCCCAUGCUUGAA
rnacentral:misc_RNA from 1 species